rnacentral:lncRNA from 1 species
CGAUCUUCACAUAAGUCUAUAUGACCAAAUUGUCAAUUGACCUCUUAAGGAUUUUUUGCCUUUUAAAUUCAAUGUUUCGUAAAUUUUUGUAAUCUUUUACAAAAAAUCUUCUCCUAUGAAACCACUUACUAGACAAAUUUAACCACAUUAAGUCAUAAUCAUCUUUAGGGUAUCUAGAGUAAAACAAAGUGUCUCGAUGUCCCACUUGCAACCAACCAACAUGGCCGACAUGGCUAAGAAUAGAACAUAGGGAUAGAAUGCAGUUUUGGCUCAUAUCUGAAACUAAAGCAUUUAGAGCAGUUCUGACAUAGUUUAAAAUGUUCAUCAGGUUUAGAUCAAUGCCCUGAAAUUUAAGACAAAUCAAACAACCCGUUAUUGUGCUUCUGUCCCUAAUUGAUAAUUAGGGAAAUUUUGCAUUAUCAUAGAGAGAGAUAAACUAAUAGCAACAAUAAUGUUAAGCAAAGUAAGAUUUACAAAUAGGUCAAAUGACCAAAAAUGUAAAUUGACCCCUGAAGCGUUUUUUGCCUUUUAAAUUUAAUUUUUCGUAAAUCUUUUACAAAUAUUGUCUACAAUAAAUCUAAUAGGCAAAAUAGAAGUAAACUUAUCAACUAUUUUCACUAGCGUAUCUUGAUUGAAAAAUGAAUCCGAUGACCCUGUCAUUUAAUUAAUAAUAAGGGGUCUUGAGGAACUAUUGUAAGACUAAAAUGGGAUGACCGGCGUUUAAUUUAACUAAAGGGCCAAAUUAAACAAAACUUGGCCUCAAUCAUUAUUAGGGUAUCUUAAGCUUUUUCUCAUGAUUUUAACUUUAUUUUACAUGAAUUUUAAAAAAAAACACAGUAGAAACAUGUGAGCGACACAGGCUCCUGAGAGCCUCUAGUUAUAGAAUAUGGACAGAAAUGUUCGUAUUGUCGUAGCCAUAAUACAUUUAUCUUUUCCCAAUGUAACCUACCAAGUUAGAGUUCUCAUCAGGUUUUUACUUAUUGUGAAUUCAUUAUUAUUCGUUGGAAACCAAUAUUUGUGUUUUUUGUUGGUAACAGUGAACCACGAAUUCAAAUGUUCCACUAAUAACACAUUUUCUAUAGGCUUUUCACACAGAAAUCGGCAAAACCUCGAAACCAAAUAUCCACGAAAAUGCAAGUUUUCCUUAACCCACGAAAUUUCAUACCCACAAAAAUAAAUGAAUCCACAGUAUACAGCGAUUCGAUAGAUGCCACACAUGGAAGAUGAUAUGUUAACCCGUUCUUGGAACAUGCAAUCAUUCUAUUUUUAUGGAGUUCAUGUUGCUUAAUCUGUAGUUUUCUAUGUUAUGUUUUGUAUAUCUUUUGGUCGUUUGUCUUUUUUUGCCAUGACAUAGGUAGUUUGAUUUCGACUUGAGAGUGUGGC